UACGAGGGGUCCAAGCGUUGUUCGGAAUCACUGGGCGUAAAGCGGGUGUAGGUGGCUCUAUAAGUCACAUGUGAAAGCCCCGGGCUCAACCCGGGAAGUGCAUGUGAUACUGCAGAGCUUGAGUACGGGAGAGGAUGGCAGAAUUCCUGGUGUAGUGGUGAAAUACGUAGAUAUCAGGAGGAACUCCGGUGGCGAAGGCGGCCAUCUGGCCCAGUACUGACACUCGGACCCGAAAGCGUGGGUAGCAAACAGG
rnacentral:rRNA from 1 species